AGGUGGCUUCCUGUUUGAAGGGCUCUCCGAUGAGGAGGAUGACUUUCACCCAAGUGCCAGGUCCACGCCCUCGAGCAGCACGUCCAGCUCCCGCCCAGCUUCCCUGGGGUACAGUGGAGCCGCCGGACCCCGGCCCAUCACUCAGAGCGAGCUGGCCACGGCCCUGGCCCUGGCCAGCACUCCGGAGAGCAGCUCUCACACGCCAACUCCUGGCACCCAGGGCCAUUCCUCUGGGACCUCCCCAAUGUCCUCAGGCGUCCAGUCAGGGACGCCCAUCACCAACGAUCUGUUCAGCCAAGCCCUACAGCAUGCGCUGCAGGCCUCCGGGCAGCCCAGCCUUCAGGUCAGUCUUUUAUGUAGGUAGAUAGGACAACCUAUCAUUUUGCUAGGAUGAAGGACUAGAAGUCACAGCUCAGCCUCACCAGGACACAUGUAUAGUGCCCUCUGGUGGACUGUGGAGGCACUAGAACGAGGUGGAUCAGAAUUCCCCCGCUUACCAUCUCUGCCAUUCUCAUCCAAGCCACCAUCAUCUCAGGU
rnacentral:lncRNA from 1 species